rnacentral:tmRNA from 2 species
GGGGCUGAUCGGGAUCGACGGAAGCCCUUUGCGUUUCCAUCAAGCCGAGGGUGCAUCAGACCUCGUAAAUCCUUGAUGCAUCAAAGACAACUGCCAAUCUUUAUACGCAAGCGAAGAAGGCUUUUGCCCUCCCAGCAUUUGCGCCCGUUGUCGCUUAAUUGCUACAACCAUCCGUCCUUAUAUGCUCACUUGUAGGGAGCCGGGUGUCAUAUUUGUGAGCUUCGAUCUUCACGCCACCUGUCAUGAAGAUUUAGAUGGCAAUCAGGUACCUCUUGUCGCGUAUGUGUUCCUGCUCUAAGCGCGACAGAGUACAAAAGCAGGAAUGAGCUUGGAACAAAUGAAAACGUGAAGUCUUACCAGACGGGGGUUCAAUUCCCCCCAGCUCCACCA